UGCUAUUGAACUGAUUGUUUAACGUAAAGGGAAGACUGCCUAUACCUCUGACCAAUGCUUUUUAAAUGAUCAGGCCUUGGAGUCAGACUGUGGUACCUGUAGCUGAUGGUUUAAGAAGAAAGAGGGGAGAGGAAGGGAGACCAAGAGGAGUGAUUUCUUUUUUAAAAAAUGAGUGUUAAUUUUUGUUGAUGAGUUUGGAUCCAGGAUAGUUUAUUACCCUGGGAUUUUCAUGUAAUAGAAAAGAGAACAUCUCCCUUCUUGUUCAAGGCAAAAAUCUGAGGCUGGGUGUUAAAUUUGGAGGAUUUAUCUUUUGUCAAUUUUGAUUUCUUUUUUCCAAAUUCCAAGAGAGGCAAACUUGAAUAUGUAUGUAUGGGGCUGGGGGUUGUGAAAUGAGGAUGAGGAUGCAAAAGAAAAGGAUGGUUUAAAGGUUUAGAUGGUCUACCUAUUUGGGGUUUGUCUAUACACACUCCUGCAAUAGUUUUAUUUUUCUGCAUCAGUGUAGGAGUUUAUUCAGAGAAGGAAGUUCCUAGAGUCUGUCCCACAGGAAGAUUAGCUAUUUUUGUUUUUCCACAACUAUUUGUUUGUUUUUUUAGUCACAAAUUUGUGGCUGCUGUGUUUUUAUGACUGUGUUUUGGGGUUGCUUUGGUCUGAGUUGCAGAUUUAUCCACCACGCAUCUAUUUUGUGUGUGUUGAAUUGUGCCUUUCAAGACCAGCAAAUGAUGGUUUGAAAUGGGAAACGUAUUCUAAGUGCCUUAAUCUUAUACUUGAAACACAGGCCAUUGGAGAGCCAAGAUGAUUCCCAAUAA
rnacentral:lncRNA from 1 species